UACGUAGGUGGCAAGCGUUGUCCGGAGUUAUUGGGCGUAAAGUGCGCGCAGGCGGUGCGGUAAGUCUCUGGUGAAAGCGCUCGGCUUAACUGGGCGAGGGCCGGGGAGACUGCCACGCUGGAGGGGAGCAGAGGCGAGUGGAAUUCCGGGUGUAGUGGUGAAAUGCGUAGAGAUCCGGAGGAACACCAGUGGCGAAGGCGGCUCGCUGGGCUCUACCUGACGCUGAGGCGCGAAAGCGUGGGGAGCGAACCGG
rnacentral:rRNA from 1 species